rnacentral:rRNA from 1 species
UACGUAGGGGGCUAGCGUUGUCCGGAAUCAUUGGGCGUAAAGCGCGUGUAGGCGGCCCGGUAAGUCCGCUGUGAAAGUCGGGGGCUCAACCCUCGGAUGCCGGUGGAUACUGUCGGGCUCGAGUACGGAAGAGGCGAGUGGAAUUCCUGGUGUAGCGGUGAAAUGCGCAGAUAUCAGGAGGAACACCGGUGGCGAAGGCGGAUCUCUGGGCCAUUACUGACGCUGAGGAGCGAAAGCGUGGGGAGCGAACAGG